GGGAAGGUGGCUCAGUGGUAGAGUGCUUGCCUUGUAAUGCAUGAGGCCCUGGGUUCGAUUCCUCAGCACCCCA
rfam:Dipodomys ordii contig_33307, whole genome shotgun sequence.